rnacentral:lncRNA from 1 species
UCUCUCUCUCUCUCUAUAUAUAUAUCUAUAUAUAUAUAUAUAUAUAUAUAUAUAUAUAUAUAUAUAUAUAGAAUUAGGCCACUAUACUAUCUAUAGUACCGGAGCUCCGGUACUAUAGUCUUGUUUUCGAUUUUAGGGUGUUCAAAUUAACGAUUCAUAUCGUUAAAUAUGAUCUAGAGUAUAUGAAAUUCUUAGAAAUAAAAUUUUAGUUUUUUUCGACAUCGUUUACUUAAUAAAUAAAUUAUGUCAAAAUGGACGGUGGAAAUUGAAUAAUCUUUAAAAUUUGACCAUAGGACUUUUAAAUUCAAGAUUAAGAAUGUUAACUUUAAUCUAAAUAGUUUAAAAUAUUUUCUAUCAAAAUUUGAAGAACUCUAGAUUUUUCUACACCGUUAAACUCCAAACUCGUCAUAGUAGCCAUUGAAAAUUGACAAUUUUGAAAUGGUUUGAUCAUAAAGUAAACUAUGUCGAAAAACUAUAAAUUUUAUUUCUAAAACUUUAAAUACCCUAGAUCAGUUUUAACGGUAUGGAUCGUUGAUUUGAACACCCUAAGAUCGAAAACGGGACUAUAGUACAGGAGCUCUGGUACCAGAACCCCGGUACUAUAGAUAGUAUAGGAGACUAGCUCUCUCUCUCUCUCUCUCUAUAUAUAUAUAUAAAAUAUUAUUUAAGAUUCCCGAAUCAAAGUUUUGGAAAAACCUGAGGUUUUGGUGAAGUGGUGAAACUGUUAUAGAUUUGAACUAGUAGGCUCUAAACUAUUGAUGAGGAGAACCAAAAUAUGACAGUCACAUGGGUGAUUCCGAGGAUUUAAGUGUCGUGGUACGGGGUCGUGCCGAAAACUUGCCGGCACGGUACAGUACGGUGCGUGCCGAGCCAUGCCGAUGCGUGCCGAUCAAAAAAAUUCUUAUGUGUCGACACAUAAUAGUAUGAAAUAUUUAUUUUUUUUAGCAACAAAAUAUUCUAACUAUUUAUUAUAUCCUUUUAUCACAUCUUUUGAACUUUAUUGAGGAAAUCACUUACUAAUUUAAAUAAUAGAGGGUUUUGAGCUGUGCCAUCGGCACGGGGUCUGUAUUGUGCCGGUAUCUUGUUGGCAUGGUACGGUACGGUGGAUACGACCCGUGCCGACGGGCACUUAAAACCUUGGGUGAUGCGCUGUUUUCGACUAUUCACAUUUGCUUUUAAGGUUCACUUAUUCUAUCAUAAUUUUCUAAAAAAUUAUAUAUAUUUUAAAAAGAGAUGUGAUUGGUUGGGACGUAGAAAAUGUGGUGUAGAUAAUAUGGUGUAGCUACUUACUCACGGAUGAGAGGCUUUUUUUUUUCGUAGUUCAUGGUAGGGAGUAUUUUGGCACCUUUCUGUUCAGAAUUUAGCGAUUUUUUAGUGAGGCCAAGUUUCUGGCCCAACUUUGCCCACCAAACCAACAAUCUUUCAUAGAAGAUAAACAGUUAUGCAACUGUUGCAAUUAAUACUUUCAUAAUUGCCAGCGAAAAUUCAAGGGAUAUGAGCAAUUUUUGGAAUUAUCUUAUAUUCAUGAGGGCUCAUUAUUAUGUGAUAGUGGGUGAGUUCCUUAGUGGGCGAGUUAUUGUAGGCUAGGUUCAAUAUAUUUUGUGCCUAUAAAUAGAGCGCUAGCUAAGGCCAAGGGAAGACAAGACAACAAGAGAGUAUCAUGUGUAUUGUAAUCUUUUUUUUUCUAAGUAAUUGAAAUCACUUAGUUAUUUUUAGAAAACCUCUAUCUUUUCUUUUUUUUUGCAUACUUAGUCGUAGGACGUAAAGUUUCAGACUAGCAAUAGAGAGCUAGACUUGUCCAUCUUCGAGGAGAAAUGCGGGCGCCGCACGGGCUUUACGAAAAAAAAAAAAAAAACUAUGGCCGUGACACUCGGCUCCCAAUCCAAAUGAUUUGGUGCUAAUUAGGCACUUCAAAUAUAAAAUAUGAGAAAUACGAGCAAUGCUACUAGUAGACCUUUAUCCACAAAUCGUCAUUCCUUUUUGGUCAUGCAUCUCAAUUUUUUUAUUAUAAAUUAUUAGAUGUUUUGUAAAAUUUUAAUAAGAGAGGUAAAAUUUAUAUUCUCUUUUGAGGUGUAAAAGUAGAAUUUUCUAUAAAAUAUACUGUAUUUGUGAAAUCCUAAAACACGCUAUUCCUGUUUUGAUUUUACAAAGUUUUAUCAAAAUUUGUUAAACAAAAUGAUUUUGCUAAGGAAAUUAUUCCGUUGAAUUUUAUGCAAUAUUUCAUCAAAAAAUUAUAAAGUUAAUUUAUCAAAAGUAAUAAAUUACUACUUAAUAAAAUCAAGAAUUUAAAAUUUAGACAUCUUUCUUAAUAUAAUCAUAUUAUAGUUCAAAUAAUAUUGCUAUAUUUUAACCUACAACUAUUUUGCGUGACCGUAUAUACCUGUUAAUAACUGUUAAUUUUUUACACCUUACAGGUAAAUAGAAAUAGAUAAAGAAUAAAUCGUAUAACUAAAGGAACUUAGAAACCGUAUUGUCAAAAUUUCAAGUUUAAGAAACUAUGUGCAAAAUUAAAAAAAAAAAGGAAAAAAAAUUGUACAACAAAAAUUACAGCUACCAAAAAUAUAAAAAGAGAACUUCUCUAUCUCUUUUU